rnacentral:rRNA from 1 species
AUACGGAGGGGGUUAGCGUUGUUCGGAAUUACUGGGCGUAAAGCGUACGUAGGCGGACUGGAAAGUUGGGGGUGAAAUCCCGGGGCUCAACCCCGGAACUGCCUCCAAAACUUCCAAUCUAGAGAUCGAGAGAGGUGAGUGGAAUUCCAAGUGUAGAGGUGAAAUUCGUAGAUAUUUGGAGGAACACCAGUGGCGAAGGCGGCUCACUGGCUCGAUACUGACGCUGAGGUACGAAAGCGCGGGGAGCAAACAGGAUUAGAAACCCUAGUAGUCC